AUGAACGCUAGCUACAGGCUUAACACAUGCAAGUCGAGGGGCAUCAGGAAGAAAGCUUGCUUUCUUUGCUGGCGACCGGCGCACGGGUGAGUAACACGUAUCCAACCUGCCCUUUACUCGGGGAUAGCCUUUCGAAAGAAAGAUUAAUACCCGAUGGCAUAAUGAUUCCGCAUGGUUUCAUUAUUAAAGGAUUCCGGUAAAGGAUGGGGAUGCGUUCCAUUAGGUUGUUGGUGAGGUAACGGUUCACCAAGCCUUCGAUGGAUAGGGGUUCUGAGAGGAAGGUCCCCCACAUUGGAACUGAGACACGGUCCAAACUCCUACGGGAGGCAGCAGUGAGGAAUAUUGGUCAAUGGGCGCUAGCCUGAACCAGCCAAGUAGCGUGAAGGAUGAAGGCUCUAUGGGUCGUAAACUUCUUUUAUAUAAGAAUAAAGUGCAGUAUGUAUACUGUUUUGUAUGUAUUAUAUGAAUAAGGAUCGGCUAACUCCGUGCCAGCAGCCGCGGUAAUACGGAGGAUCCGAGCGUUAUCCGGAUUUAUUGGGUUUAAAGGGAGCGUAGGUGGACUGGUAAGUCAGUUGUGAAAGUUUGCGGCUCAACCGUAAAAUUGCAGUUGAUACUGUCAGUCUUGAGUACAGUAGAGGUGGGCGGAAUUCGUGGUGUAGCGGUGAAAUGCUUAGAUAUCACGAAGAACUCCGAUUGCGAAGGCAGCUCACUGGACUGCAACUGACACUGAUGCUCGAAAGUGUGGGUAUCAAACAGGAUUAGAUACCCUGGUAGUCCACACAGUAAACGAUGAAUACUCGCUGUUUGCGAUAUACAGUAAGCGGCCAAGCGAAAGCAUUAAGUAUUCCACCUGGGGAGUACGCCGGCAACGGUGAAACUCAAAGGAAUUGACGGGGGCCCGCACAAGCGGAGGAACAUGUGGUUUAAUUCGAUGAUACGCGAGGAACCUUACCCGGGCUUAAAUUGCAGUGGAAUGAUGUGGAAACAUGUCAGUGAGCAAUCACCGCUGUGAAGGUGCUGCAUGGUUGUCGUCAGCUCGUGCCGUGAGGUGUCGGCUUAAGUGCCAUAACGAGCGCAACCCUUAUCUUUAGUUACUAACAGGUCAUGCUGAGGACUCUAGAGAGACUGCCGUCGUAAGAUGUGAGGAAGGUGGGGAUGACGUCAAAUCAGCACGGCCCUUACGUCCGGGGCUACACACGUGUUACAAUGGGGGGUACAGAAGGCAGCUAGCGGGUGACCGUAUGCUAAUCCCAAAAUCCUCUCUCAGUUCGGAUCGAAGUCUGCAACCCGACUUCGUGAAGCUGGAUUCGCUAGUAAUCGCGCAUCAGCCACGGCGCGGUGAAUACGUUCCCGGGCCUUGUACACACCGCCCGUCAAGCCAUGGGAGCCGGGGGUACCUGAAGUACGUAACCGCAAGGAUCGUCCUAGGGUAAAACUGGUGACUGGGGCU
rnacentral:rRNA from 1 species